UGGAGGACGCCACCCUGCGGGCUGCACUGGGGAAGGAACAUCCCGCACACCAGCCUCUGCAAGGGCUCAAAGCACGCCAGCUCCAUCAGCACCUGGAUGAAAAAAUGGAGAAAAGAGGAGUGUAAAAAGGAUGACAGAGAGACAAAACUGUGCCUGCGACUGUGAUCGGGGUCAGAGAUAACAGGGACUCACUGAAAGGAGGGUAGGUGGAGUUGCCACAGCCCUCCUCGUCUGCUCCGUCAGGGCAGUCGUUCCAUCCGUCACACAGCCACUGCCGCUGAAGACACUCGCCUGUACUGCACGCAAACUGGCUGGGACCGCAUGUCCCUUUGAAUCAACACAGAAACACACAGGAGAGGGUUUCAGAGAGCAAAAUAGCAAAAAAGUGAAGAGAAAAGAAGAAAGUAUGGAGGGAGGAGGAAAUACUGUAAUAAGAGAGAAUCUGGGCUUUUAAAAGAGUCGGGUAAAGAGUAAAUGUAGAAAAGGAGGAAGCAAGGAGAAUAAAAGGAAAUUUGGUCAAGUGCUAAGAUUUGAUAUAUGGAGGAAAGAAGACAAAAGAAGUAGGAAGAGGAACAAAGGAAGGGAGGGGGAAAUAUAAAAAGAAAGAUGCAUUGAGAGUUAUGAAAAAAUAAUUAAGGUUGGUUAAAUAUAAAUUUACAUUAUAAAAGCAAGAACUCACUGCCAAGUACAGACACAGCCUGGUAUGUUGCAUUGAAGCCGCUGUCGGCCACGCCCUCAUCAGCCACAAACACCACAGUCAUGUGGGGGCCGGAGGAGGUCAGGUCUGGAGGGAAAGUGGUUCCACAAAACCUGAGACAAAGGCAGAGGAGACAAAAGAUGCUUCCGAAUACCGGUAAUACAAGCAGGACACAAUUUUACCCUCCACACACAGGGGGUAAACAACAAAGACAUGAUAACUGGAGUCUCAGUUGCCGUCCAGGUGGCUGUGGUGCGUCUCACCUUCCCAACACUCUUCCAGCUCCAGUGGUGACGCUGUCGUGCACUUCCACGUAGUCAAACUCACACACGUCCUGAGUUUCCAGGCUGAAGUUCCUGAAGCUCAGUGUGAUGACGUGACCUUCCUCAACAGAUAUGUACCAUAUGCACAGCUGAUGGGAAACAGAAGAAUGCCAGAUUGUUGAAAAAUACGUAAACACAGUCCUCACACAGCCGGUUUGGAGUGUGUUUGACGGUCUAAUGUGGUUAAAAUUGUACCUGCUGGUGCGGAUAAGGUCUGGGGUGGUUUGGACUUGCCAGAUAACCAUAGGACCCAGUCUUCUGCCCACCACAUUCUGUGAGAAAAAACAGAGUGGAAACAAUGUCCAUGACUUCACGCUUGUUGUCUUUAAAAUGUGCAUAACUUC